rnacentral:rRNA from 1 species
UAAGUAAGCUUUGAUCCAGAGAUUUCCGAAUGGGGAAACCCAGCAUGAGUUAUGUCAUGUUAUCGAUAUGUGAAUACAUAGCAUAUCAGAAGGCACACCCGGAGAACUGAAACAUCUUAGUACCCGGAGGAAGAGAAAGAAAAUUCGAUUCCCUUAGUAGCGGCGAGCGAAACGGGAAGAGCCCAAACCAACAAGCUUGCUUGUUGGGGUUGUAGGACACUCUAUACGGAGUUACAAAGGACGACAUUAGACGAAUCAUCUGGAAAGAUGAAUCAAAGAAGGUAAUAAUCCUGUAGUCGAAAAUGUUGUCUCUCUUGAGUGGAUCCUGAGUACGACGGAGCACGUGAAAUUCCGUCGGAAUCUGGGAGGACCAUCUCCUAAGGCUAAAUACUCUCUAGUGACCGAUAGUGAACCAGUACCGUGAGGGAAAGGUGAAAAGCACCCCGGAAGGGGAGUGAAAUAGAACCUGAAACCGUGUGCUUACAAGUAGUCAGAGCCCGUUAAUGGGUGAUGGCGUGCCUUUUGUAGAAUGAACCGGCGAGUUACGAUUUGAUGCAAGGUUAAGCAGUAAAUGUGGAGCCGUAGCGAAAGCGAGUCUGAAUAGGGCGUUUAGUAUUUGGUCGUAGACCCGAAACCAGGUGAUCUACCCUUGGUCAGGUUGAAGUUCAGGUAACACUGAAUGGAGGACCGAACCGACUUACGUUGAAAAGUGAGCGGAUGAACUGAGGGUAGCGGAGAAAUUCCAAUCGAACCUGGAGAUAGCUGGUUCUCUCCGAAAUAGCUUUAGGGCUAGCCUCAAGUGAUGAUUAUUGGAGGUAGAGCACUGUUUGGACGAGGGGCCCCUCUCGGGUUACCGAAUUCAGACAAACUCCGAAUGCCAAUUAAUUUAACUUGGGAGUCAGAACAUGGGUGAUAAGGUCCGUGUUCGAAAGGGAAACAGCCCAGACCACCAGCUAAGGUCCCAAAAUAUAUGUUAAGUGGAAAAGGAUGUGGCGUUGCCCAGACAACUAGGAUGUUGGCUUAGAAGCAGCCAUCAUUUAAAGAGUGCGUAAUAGCUCACUAGUCGAGUGACACUGCGCCGAAAAUGUACCGGGGCUAAACAUAUUACCGAAGCUGUGGAUUGUCCUUUGGACAAUGGUAGGAGAGCGUUCUAAGGGCGUUGAAGCAUGAUCGUAAGGACAUGUGGAGCGCUUAGAAGUGAGAAUGCCGGUGUGAGUAGCGAAAGACGGGUGAGAAUCCCGUCCACCGAUUGACUAAGGUUUCCAGAGGAAGGCUCGUCCGCUCUGGGUUAGUCGGGUCCUAAGCUGAGGCCGACAGGCGUAGGCGAUGGAUAACAGGUUGAUAUUCCUGUACCACCUAUAAUCGUUUUAAUCGAUGGGGGGACGCAGUAGGAUAGGCGAAGCGUGCGAUUGGAUUGCACGUCUAAGCAGUAAGGCUGAGUAUUAGGCAAAUCCGGUACUCGUUAAGGCUGAGCUGUGAUGGGGAGAAGACAUUGUGUCUUCGAGUCGUUGAUUUCACACUGCCGAGAAAAGCCUCUAGAUAGAAAAUAGGUGCCCGUACCGCAAACCGACACAGGUAGUCAAGAUGAGAAUUCUAAGGUGAGCGAGCGAACUCUCGUUAAGGAACUCGGCAAAAUGACCCCGUAACUUCGGGAGAAGGGGUGCUCUUUAGGGUUAACGCCCAGAAGAGCCGCAGUGAAUAGGCCCAAGCGACUGUUUAUCAAAAACACAGGUCUCUGCUAAACCGUAAGGUGAUGUAUAGGGGCUGACGCCUGCCCGGUGCUGGAAGGUUAAGAGGAGUGGUUAGCUUCUGCGAAGCUACGAAUCGAAGCCCCAGUAAACGGCGGCCGUAACUAUAACGGUCCUAAGGUAGCGAAAUUCCUUGUCGGGUAAGUUCCGACCCGCACGAAAGGCGUAACGAUUUGGGCACUGUCUCAACGAGAGACUCGGUGAAAUCAUAGUACCUGUGAAGAUGCAGGUUACCCGCGACAGGACGGAAAGACCCCGUGGAGCUUUACUGUAGCCUGAUAUUGAAAUUCGGCACAGCUUGUACAGGAUAGGUAGGAGCCUUUGAAACGUGAGCGCUAGCUUACGUGGAGGCGCUGGUGGGAUACUACCCUAGCUGUGUUGGCUUUCUAAC